GCCCCAACAGCUAGCCCACCUUCAAAAAUUAUCAACCACUAUUAAUCUACCCACGGAGCAACUAAACAAACCACAGCAAACCAUUUUCCCACCUCAGUAUGGGAGACAGAAAAGGAUCUUCGGCGCAAUAGAAAAAGUACCGCAAGGGAAAGCUGAAAGAGAAGUGAAAAAACCCAGUUUAUAAAGGAAGAAAAAGCAGAGCUUCAACCUCGUACCUUUUGCAUCAUGAUUUAGCUAGUAACCCUCAAGCAAAGCGCCCUUUAUGUUUGAGCCCCCGAAACUAAGCGAGCUACUCCAAGACAGCCUAUUGUAGGGCGAACCCGUCUCUGUGGCAAAAGAGUGGGAAGAGCUUUGAGUAGAGGUGAUAAACCUACCGAGCCUAGUCAUAGCUGGUUGCCUGAGAAAAGAAUAGAAGUUCAACCUUUUGACUCCUUCCGCCCAACAAGGUCCCACCUAGCCCCGACUAGAAUGAGUCAAAAGAGCUAUUCAAGAGAGGGACAGCUCUCUUGAAAAAAGAUACAACUUUAAUAGAAGGCUAAAGAUCAAAACAUCUAAGGUAGCAUACCAAGGUAGGCCUAAAAGCAGCCACCCUAAAAAAAAGCGUUAAAGCUCAAGUAUCUUUACCCCCGUAAUCCCGACAGUAACAUCUUAAACCUCUUAACAUAUCAGGCCCCUCCAUGCAAACAUGGAAAAGACACUGCUAGUAUGAGUAAUAAGAGAGCCUAGCCUCUCUCAAAGCAUCCGUGUACUCCAGAACGAACCCUCACUGAAAAUUAACGUUCCCACAAACAGAGGGCAUUGAACAAAACUAACCAAAACUAGAAACUCCCCCAACCAUCUGACGUUAACCCCACACAGGAAUGCUGCAUGAAAGACAGAAGGAAAAAGAAGGAACUCGGCAAACAUUGGCCUCGCCUGUUUACCAAAAACAUCGCCUCUUGCGUACACAAUAUAAGAGGUCCCGCCUGCCCUGUGACUUUCGAGUUUAACGGCCGCGGUAUUUUGACCGUGCAAAGGUAGCGUAAUCACUUGUUUUUUAAAUAGAGACCUGUAUGAAUGGCAUAACGAGGGCCAAACUGUCUCCUUUCUCCAGUCAAUGAAAUUGAUCUCUCCGUGCAGAAGCGGACAUUUAAACAUAAGACGAGAAGACCCUAUGGAGCUUCAGACACAAGGACAGACCAUGUUAAAACCCCUAAACAACCAGGAUCAAACCAAAUGGCCCCUGCCCCUAUGUCUUUGGUUGGGGCGACCGCGGGGUAACAACGACCCCCCACGUGGAAUGGAACACUCUUCCCAACGCCAGAGCCACAGCUCUAACGAACAGAAAAUCUGACCAACAAGACCCGGCCAUGUGCCGAUCAACGAACCCAGUUACCCUAGGGAUAACAGCGCAAUCCCCUUCUAGAGCCCAUAUCGACAAGGGGGUUUACGACCUCGAUGUUGGAUCAGGACUUCCUAAUGGUGCAGCCGCUAUUAAGGGUUC
rnacentral:rRNA from 1 species